AGCAGCCGCGGUAAUUCCAGCUCCAAUAGCGUAUAUUAAAGUUGUUGCAGUUAAAAAGCUCGUAGUUGAAUUUCGAGAUCAAUUUGUUGGUCGUGCCUCGGUACGUACUGGCAAUUCUGAUUUCUCCCUUCUGAAGAACCAUGAUGUCAUUAAUUUGGUGUCAUGGGGAAUCAGGACCGUUACUUUGAAAAAUUAGAGUGUUUAAAGCAGGCUCGCGCUUGAAUACAUUAGCAUGGAAUAAUGAAAUAGGACGUUUGAUUCUAUUUUGUUGGUUUCUAGGAUCGACGUAAUGAUUAAUAGGGAUAGUUGGGGGCAUUAGUAUUCAAUUGUCAGAGGUGAAAUUCUUGGAUUUAUUGAAGACUAACUACUGCGAAAGCAUUUGCCAAGGAUGUUUUCAUUAAUCAAGAACGAAAGUUAGGGGAUCGAAGACGAUCAGAUACCGUCGUAGUC
rnacentral:rRNA from 1 species